rnacentral:lncRNA from 1 species
AUGGAAUUUCACGCGAAAAAGUCGAAUCAAAGAAGUGUCUUUACAAGCUGCCCAUGUGCCUCAAUAGAAAUAAUCAAUUCCGUAUUGACUCCACAAGGGGAAUUCGAGUCUAAUCAUAUGGAUAAUACAAGCCGAGAUGAAGAUUAAGCAGUGCGGAAGAAAGUAAGGAUAUUCAAAAGUCAACUAAUUGCUGACUCUAAACAAGAAUAACGUAGCUAGUAACCCCGAGAGUCAGCUAAC